rnacentral:rRNA from 1 species
GACGAACGCUUGCGACGUGCCUGAGAAAUGCAAGUCGAGCGGGCAGAGUUCUUUCGGGGACUUUGUUAGCGGCGAACGGUCGAGUAACACGUAACCAACCUGCCCUUAGGUCUGGGAUAGCCCUUCGAAAGAGGGAGUAAUACCGGAUAGUCUCCUGAUGUGACAUCGUAUUGGGAGUAAAGGCUAGUACGCCAAAGGAGGGGGUUGCGUCCUAUCAGCUGGUUGGCGGGGUAACGGCCCACCAAGGCGACGACGGGUAGCUGGUCUGAGAGGAUGAUCAGCCGGAUUGGGACUGAGACACGGCCCAGACUCCUACGGGAGGCAGCAGUGGGGAAUAUUGGACAAUGGCGCAAGCCUGAUCCAGCAAUGCCGCGUGAGUGAUGAAGGCCUUAGGGUGUAAAGCUCUUUCGGCGGGGACGAUGAUGACGGUACCCGCAGAAGAAGCCCCGGCUAACUUCGUGCCA